UACGAAGGGGGCUAGCGUUGUUCGGAAUUACUGGGCGUAAAGCGCGCGUAGGCGGAUCGAUCAGUCAGGGGUGAAAUCCCAGGGCUCAACCCUGGAACUGCCUUUGAUACUGUCGAUCUGGAGUAUGGAAGAGGUGAGUGGAAUUCCGAGUGUAGAGGUGAAAUUCGUAGAUAUUCGGAGGAACACCAGUGGCGAAGGCGGCUCACUGGUCCAUUACUGACGCUGAGGUGCGAAAGCGUGGGGAGCAAACAGG
rnacentral:rRNA from 1 species